AUUGCACAGCUGACUGAUAACACAAUCGGAAGGGGAGAAUUUCAUUUUGGGGUAUAUUUAUUUUGGGCCAAAAUAAGUUGCUAGCAUUUGAUUGAAGCAGCUCCAGCUCCAUUGGCUUGUUUGUAAAAUGUCCUAGAGUUCGCUACCCAACGCCGCGUUCAUUGGUUCGUUCAAGUUCAGUUGCGCUAGCCGCUAGUUCGAUGGCUUUUCGCGGACUCCCCGCCUGAGACAGACAGCCAAGGUAACUAACUAAGAAGCGCUGGUUGCGGGUGCUAGUGGAGCCAGGUGGGUGGAGCUUUGCUGCUGGAGCCUCUGAAAAGCAGACAGCCCAGCCAGUCCCGGAUAGGCCAUAAGUCAUAAUUUCCAGACGACGCACAACUACCAAAGAGCCAGACACGCACAGCAAAGAUGAAAAUUCAUUUUCGGGAACAGUAUGGAAGGAAGGGGGAGGAAAUCCUCUAUGUGACGCCAGCAGAUCAGAGCAACAUUGUGCGUGUGCCGCUGCGUGGGGAUAAGCUGGUCAUCCAGGAGAAGUUCUUGCUGUUUCGCGUUCUGCAGAAGGUCUUCCUGCCCAAGGGCUAUCCGGAUAGUGUGAGCGAGGACUACGCGGCAUACCAGAUCUGGGACACGGCCCAGGCAUUCUGCAGCACCAUCUGCGGCACACUGUGCACACACGCCAUCUUGAAGGGCAUCGGCGUGGGCAGCGAGAACAUCAAUGCCUUUUCCGCAACAGCAACUUGGAUCUUGAAGGAGGGCAGUGGUCACGUGGGUCGCAUAGUGUUCGCAUGGUGGCAGGGCUCCCAGUUGGAUGUGGACUCAAAGAAAUGGCGCCUGCGUGCGGAUUUUCUGAACGAUCUGGCCAUGGGCAUCGAGAUCUACGUGCUUCCCAAGUAUCCACAUUUCAGCACCCAAAUCCUGUGCUGCUCGACCCUGCUGAAGGCGAUUGUGGGCGUUGCCGGAGGUGCCACUAGAUCGGCAUUGACCCAGCAUCAUGCCUUGAGGGGCAACCUGGCGGAUGUGGCAUCCAAGGACAGUUCGCAGGAAACGUGUGUGAAUCUGGUUGCCUCCUUUGUGGGCCUGUAUCUCCUCUCCCUGAUCAAGAGUCAGGCGGUCCUGUACACCAUAUUCUACGUAGUGGUCAGCCUGCAUCUGUAUGCCAAUCUGAAAGCGGUACGGGCGGUAUGCUUGCGAAGCUUUAACGAGUCGCGCUAUUUGAUCGCCCUCGAGGAGUUUUUCAGGUCGUCAAGGAUGCUCAGUCCGCAGCAGGUGAACGCCAUGGAGCGGGUGACUGUUGGCCAAACGGUUUCUGUGUCACUGAACAUAAAGCUCGGACUGAGCGUUAAAAAUCUGAUUGACGAGUACAAGAGCAGCAGUGUUAUUGAGAACAUAGUGUCCUCCUUCGAUCCCCACGAGCACUUCAUCAUCGCACAGACCAAAAAGUGUCUGGGUGUAUAUCUGCACUUUGAAACGCGCCCGCAAGAUGUGCUGAAGGCGUACUUCUUUGCGGUGUCCUAUUUGCAGGACAGGAAUCAGAUUAAGGAGAAAUACUGGGACAUACAGACGAAGUGGCAGGAGUUUUUGGCGCUGGCGCAGCAAGAGGGUUGGCUAAUCCAUCAGCAUUUGCUGCUGGUGGACGAAUACCGCUUGGACUGGAAGGUGUAGGAGGAUGGUGACUUUGAUUGCUAGAUUUUGACCUUAGUUGCUUGCUUUGACCUGAAGAAUUGAUUUCAUUGGACUUCAUUAUCAUUCUCACAUAUCUCACAUGGCUACCAUAGAGCGAAAACAUUGAUAUUAACUAAGUGCUAUUGAUAUUUACCUAGAAUUAGCUUUGUGAAUCUCGUUCGCACUUGAACAUCUUCCAACUAACUCUGCCUUAGCACAAAGUAAUGUUUGUAACCGAUAUUUGAUAAGCUAAUUUAGCCCUGCUUUUACCCAUGAAUUUAUCGGAAGACAUUGUUUCAAUUACUAGCUGCUACUAGGACUAAAGGAGACACAAAAGAAAAUCAAGAAUCUAUUUUGUAAGGACUUAUUUCAUGAAGAAUCUCACAACGAACUACGGAAAACCAGUUUCAAUUGCAUUCUGAGCAAAAAAUGUACAAAGUUUUAAGCUUUUUUUUUAAUGCUAAAUGUGCAAUAGUAAGUUAAUUAUUAGCUUCGAAUAUCUACGGAAUAAGUUGGCGUCCAUUUUUGCUUAACUAAAAUGCUUUUCAAUGAAUGCAAUACAUGAAUUGUGUGCAUACCGUCUCACCACGCAAAUGAUUUUAACAAAACAAAUAAAAGUAACCAAUUUUAAGGAAAAA
rnacentral:misc_RNA from 1 species